UACAAAAAAACACAAAGAAGAGAAAACCAGAUUCGUUUCAUAAAUUAAAAAAAAAAGGUUGAAAAACCAAUAGAAUUGGUAGUUGGGGGAGAAGGAGGCACUGGUGAUGUUGUUGACAGAAGAUAGAGAGCACAGAUGAUGAUAUGCAAUGGACUCUGCAUCCCACUCCUUUGUGCUCUCUAUGCUUCUGUCAUCACUUUCAGCCCCGACCCCCUCCUCCUCCUCCUCCUCUAUUUCUUUGCUCAAUCUUCCAUGAUUUUGCUUUGUUUGAAUCUAUAUGUCAUUAAUGUUUUCUUUAGUUUGCAAGCGCAGGGCAAGUAACAUUUCAGAUAACGGAAAGGCGGGUGGGGGGGUCUUGAUAUUCGAAGUGAUUUCUCAGUAUGCAUAAGGAUCAUAUUUGUUUCCUGGCUAUAUAUAACCAAAAUAGCCAGCUACCAGUGAUUGAUAGACCGUAUAAGAAGUAUCAAGGAAAUGCUUUGUGAGAGAAGGGCCAUCCAAAUCAUUGGUGUUUUGAUUUUUGGUAUAUUAAUGGUGUGUUUUUCCGUGAAGGAGUGUGUAAAGCUGAGCAAAGGAUAUUAGUUCCAGGCACAAAACAGGACGAAUUGGGCUGAAGUUCUCGAGGUGAUCAGUUUAGUAUGAUGGUUUUGAUCGUUAUCAGUACAAAAGUUCAUCAAAUUUCUUUUCUUGCUUUAAAGGUUGAGCCUGGAUCACGAAUCUGAUCAUAUAGUUAUUAUAAAUGAUAUACAAAUAUAAUUACGCUCAGAUCUGUUAAAUUCUAUUUACCAGAGGUUCUUAUCUUUAAGUAUUAAAUAGCCUAAAACAUGAUUUAAUAAGCACUCCAUAAUAAGAUCAUUUUAUGUGUGAUUCUUUAGGAUUUGCAAUUCUUUUGGAUUUGCAUUUUUCUUGACAAGGGCCUAUGAAGGAUCAUCUUCGACUUUCAUGUGUGCUCGUAUAAUUCUAUGAUUUAUCUACAUCAAUUGAAUAAUUCGAUUCAUCAAGUCUUGUGUGGAUCAAGUGUACUACUAGAUUCAUUAUAUAUAUAGUUGACUAGUUGCAGACCUUCCACUAGAUUUUUCUUCUUUUGGCAGUCAGAUUUACUGAUGCGAAGAUGCCAAUCCCUUUUUUUUUUUGGAAGCAAAAAACUAAUGGUUCACAAGUUCUCAUGUUUAUGCUCUUCAGAAUCCCACAAGAUGAUCAUAGAA